rnacentral:misc_RNA from 1 species
GAUGAAGAACGUAGUGAAAUGCGAUAAGUAAUGUGAAUUGCAGAAUUCAGUGAAUCAUCGAAUCUUUGAACGCACAUUGCGCCCGCCAGUAUUCUGGCGGGCAUGCCUGUUCGAGCGUCAUUUCAACCCUCAAGACCCCUUCGGGGGACUUGGUGUUGGGGACCGACACAGGGGCCUGCCUGCUUGUCUUGCAGCGCCCUCGCCGCCCCCGAAAUGAAUUGGCGGCCUCGUCGCGGCCUCCCCUGCGUAGUAGCACAACCUCGCAACGGGAACGUGACGGCGGCCACUGCCGUAAAACAACCCCAAUUUUAUUAGAGUUGACCUCGAAUCAGGUAGGAAUACCCGCUGAACUUAAGCAUAUCAAUAAGCGGAGGA